ensembl:lncRNA
UUUCAAGCUACCAGCAUGACAUGACUGGACAUAGCAGUAGAAAGAUGUGCCCAAAACUGGCUCCUGUGAGCUGGUAAAAGCUAACUCCUGCACAUCAUGUCAUUCCAAACUCCUGCUUGGGAAACAAGCACUGAAUCAGUCAGAGUUCUCCAGAGAAACAGAACGAGAAGACCAGUAGCAGGGGCCUGAGUUCAUUGCUGGCAGAAUGCAAUUUGCAAAGAUGAUUAAGAUACAGCGUCUGCCCUCCAGCCGAGUAGGGAUGAUACUCUUUGGUGCUUAUGCAUCAUUCGUCCUUAUACAAGUAACCAGGCAAGGGGGGCUGCUUUCUAGCUCAAAACCCAGCACAGAGCUUGGCAUGGAGUUGGCCUCAUUAUGAUUGAAUGAAUGCAGUCCCAUGAUUUUCAUGUCUUGGCAAGCAUCUGUCAACGGUUAUUCACGAUCCUGAGUCUUAGGACAAAAGAAAAUGAAUUCUAUUCUCCUCGUACUCAUGAAGAAGAUUGAAAAGCUGGUACCAGAGACACAGCUCAAUCCUCAGGUUUGGAGACCUGCUUCCCCAGUGCUGGCUCCAUACUCAGACUCUACAUGAUGCCAAGAAGGCUGCAGCAACUCCAACUCAUAUACAUGCGUAUGGUAUCGUCCUCCACAAGCCUCCCCCUCAUUGCUUAAGCUGAAGAAGACUUGGGAUAAAAUCUGAUGGG